UACGGGGGGGGCAAGCGUUGUUCGGAAUUACUGGGCGUAAAGGGCUCGUAGGGGGCCAACUAAGUCAGACGUGAAAUCCCUCGGCUUAACCGGGGAACUGCAUCUGAUACUGGAUGGCUUGAGUUCGGGAGAGGGAUGCGGAAUUCCAGGUGUAGCGGUGAAAUGCGUAGAUAUCUGGAGGAACACCGGUGGCGAAGGCGGCUCACUGGCCCGGUACUGACGCUGAGGUGCGAAAGCGUGGGGAGCAAACAGG
rnacentral:rRNA from 1 species